GAAAGGUAUGGAUGUUACCCAGGGUAGAGUAGCAAAAAAGAAAGAUUUGAAAGGAAUGGAUGACACCCUGGGUAGAGUAAUAAGAAAGGUAGAUUUGAAAGGUAUGGAUGACACCCAGGGUAGAGUAGCAAAAAAGAAAGAUUUGAAAGGAUGGAUGACACCCUGGGUAGAGUAACCAAAACUAUUACCGAUAUCUUACAUAGACUCAAAUAUAUGAUAGAAAUGAAGGGGUUGAAUUGAAAAGCAGGUUUUAUAUGAACUGUUAUGCAAAAUUAUUUUAAAGGUAUGUAUAACACCUUGGGUAGUAUAAGAAAAGGGUAGAUUUCAAAAGCAUGGGAAGAGUAAGGUAUGAAUUAUACCCCGGGUAGAUGUAUUCAAAAAUUCUGGUCAAACAGUAAAAAAAUGUAGGUUUGAAAGAUAUGAAUAAUACCCUGGGCAGAGAAAUAACGAGGUGCAAUGGUAUAAAUGGUUCCCUGGGUAAAUAUCAUACCCUGGAUAUUGAAGAUCGCGGAAAGACGAGCAAAAUAUGAUAUGAAGGAAGAUAUGUAUAUAAUUAUACAGAUGGCAGUAGUAAAAGUUGAAGGCAAUUAACUUAUCAAAUAUGGUUGAUUUCAAAGGUAUUGACAACACCGUGGGUAUAGGAAUACGAAAGGCAGAUUUGAAAGGUAUGGAUUGCACCCUGGGUAGAAUAACACGAAAGGCUGAUUUGAAAAGUGUAGAUGAAACCCUGAGUAACAAGAAAGGUAGAUUUAAAAGAUAUGAAUGACACCGAGGGUAGAGAAACAAAAAAAUAAGAUUUGAAAAGUAUUGAUGAUACCCUGGCUAGAGUGAUAAGUAAGGUACAUUUGAAAGGUAUGGAUGAUACCCAGGGUAGAGUAACAGAAAAGAGGGAUUUUAAAGCAAUUAACUUAAGAAAGUGGUUGAUUUAAAAGGUAUCGAUGGCACCGUGAGUAGAGUAACAGGAAAUAAAUAUUUGAAAGGAAUGGAUGACACCCUGGGUAGAGUAAUAAGAAAGUAGAUUUGAAAGGUAUGGAUGACACCCUGGGAAGAGUAACAAAUGCAAUAUAUUUGAAAGGAAUGGAUGACACUGAGGGUAGAGUAACAAAAAAAAAAAAGAAAAAAAAAUAUAUUUUAAAGGUAUGGAUGAUACCCUGGGUAGAAUAACAAAAUAGGGAGAUUUGAAAGGUAUGGAUGACACCCUGGGUAGAAUAACAAAAAAGAGAGAUUUGAAAGGUAUGGAUGACACCCUGGGUAAAAAAAAUAAGAAAGGUAGAUUUAAAAGGUAUGAAUCACACCUAGGGUAGAGUAAUAAGAAAGGUAUAUUUGAAAGAAAUGGGAUGAUACCUAGUGUAGAGUAACAAA
rnacentral:lncRNA from 1 species